rnacentral:rRNA from 1 species
CCUACGGGUGGCAGCAGUGGGGAAUAUUGCACAAUGGGGGAAACCCUGAUGCAGCGAAGCCGCGUGAGUGAAGACGUAUUUCGGUAUGUAAAGCUCUGUCAGCAGGGAAGAAAAUGACGGUACGUGACCAAGAAGCCCCGGCUAACUACGUGCCAGCCGCAGCGGUCAGACGUAGGGGGCAAGCGUUAACCGGAUUUGCUGGGUGUAAAGGGAGCGUAGACGGCAGGGCAAGCCUGGAGUGAAAGGCGGGGGCUCAACCCCCGGACUGCUCUGGAAACUGCCAGGCUGGAGUGCAGGAGAGGUAAGUGGAAUUCCUAGUGUAGCGGUGAAAUGCGUAGAUAUUAGGAGGAACACCAGUUGCGAAGGCGGCUUACUGGACUGUAACUGACGUUGAGGCUCGAAAGCGUGGGGAGCAAACAGGAUUAGAUACCCUGGUAGUC